rnacentral:rRNA from 1 species
UACGUAGGGGGCUAGCGUUGUCCGGAAUCAUUGGGCGUAAAGAGCGCGUAGGCGGCUGGAAUAGUCCGGUGUGAAAUCCACAGGCUUAACCUGUGAAUGCCGCUGGAAACUGUCUGGCUAGAGUCCGGAAGAGGAGAGUGGAAUUCCUGGUGUAGCGGUGAAAUGCGCAGAUAUCAGGAAGAACACCCGUGGCGAAGGCGGCUCUCUGGGACGGUACUGACGCUGAGACGCGAAAGCGUGGGGAGCGAACAGG